GGGAGUACAUGGAGAAGGUAGGAUGUUCAGAAGCGGCAUCCUUGUGUACUGCAGUCUCGGGAGCAGUUACUGAAGGUGUUCCUCAAAUGGUGCUGGGUUGAUACAUGGAGGAGCCAUCAGAAGCAGAUGCUGACGAUUUGGAAAUGCCUUCAGCCGCCGAGCCCAGCAGCCCAUCCUAGCGCGUUUUCUUCUCGUGAUUGCCGUCUUCCUCAGUGCUGCAUCCCACUGCCACUGCCCAGCGGAUAGGGUUAGACAUUGAAGCAUUCAAGCCAGAAGUCAGACACAAUGCUGUUUAAGUUCACAGAAGUCAUAGAGGCGAGAAACCCGCCACUGUGCCAAUGCCACUGGACCACCAUCAUGUGACUGAACCUGAGUUCACACAGCACAGCAGGCUUUUCAGUGACUUGGGAAAUUUAUUGGUGAACGACGCAGUGGGUUUUUGU